CUGAAAUUCGCCUUCAUGAAGUCGGAAUUGCUAGUAAUGGCAGGUCAGCAUACUGCCGUGAAUACGUUCCCGGGCCUUGUACACACCGCCCGUCACACCAUGAGAGUUGGAGAUACCCAAAGCCUAUGAGCUAACUUUUAGAGGCAGUAGUCGAAGGUAGAAUCAAUGAUUGGGGUGAAGUCGUAACAAGGUACC
rnacentral:rRNA from 1 species